UACGUAGGGAGCAAGCGUUGUUCGGAUUUACUGGGCGUAAAGGGCGCGUAGGCGGCAGAUCAAGUCAGCUGUGAAAUCUCCGAGCUUAACUCGGAACUGUCAGCUGAUACUGUUUUGCUAGAGUGCGGAAGGGGCAAUCGGAACUCUUGGUGUAGCGGUGAAAUGCGUAGAUAUCAAGAGGAACACCUGAGGUGAAGACGGGUUGCUGGGCCGACACUGACGCUGAGUGCGCGAAAGCCAGGGGAGCAAACGGG
rnacentral:rRNA from 1 species